rnacentral:rRNA from 1 species
CCCUUAGAUGUCCUGGGCUGCACGCGCACUACACUGACGAACUCAACGAGCUUAUCACCUUGGCAGAGAUGUCUGGGUAAUCUUUUGAAAGUUCGUCGUGCUGGGGAUAGAUGAUUGUAAUUAUUCGUCUUGAACGAGGAAUUCCUAGUAAGUGUGAGUCAUCAGCUCGCGCUGAUUACGUCCCUGCCCUUUGUACACACCGCCCGUCGCUCCUACCGAUUGAAUGUUCCGGUGAGCUCUUCGGACUGCGCGGUCUGCAGUUUCUGCGUUCCGUGCGGAAAGUUGCGCAAACCUUAACAUUUAGAGGAAGGAGAAGUCGUAACA